UUCAGCGCCUCGAAAUUAUGUCUUGCAUUAAAAAAGGCGAUUGCAUCGCAAAUAAAGUGAAGAAAAAUGAAGUCAUAAAGAAUUUUGUGGACAAAUUUGAUAAUACAGAUAAUUGCGAAGAAUUUGUUAAAGGUCUUAAGGAGAAACUUGAUGCUAUGUGCGAGUCCUACGAAGGUGACGAUAACGACUUGAAAUAUUUCUGUAAGCAAAAUCAUGUGUUAGCGUGAAGUAAAAAUUUUCAAAAUUUAUCCUAAAUAUCAUUAAAUUUUAGUAAUUAUUAAUUAUGUGUUGUUCUUUUCUAUAAUUUAAAUCAGCAACGUUCGAAUAUAUUCAG